rnacentral:rRNA from 1 species
GGAGUUAGCCGGUGCUUCUUCUGCGAGUAACGUCACAGAUGUAAGGUAUUAACUUACACCCUUUCCUCCUCGCUGAAAGUGCUUUACAACCCGAAGGCCUUCUUCACACACGCGGCAUGGCUGCAUCAGGGUUUCCCCCAUUGUGCAAUAUUCCCCACUGCUGCCUCCCGUAGGAGUCUGGGCCGUGUCUCAGUCCCAGUGUGGCUGAUCAUCCUCUCAGACCAGCUAGGGAUCGUCGCCUAGGUGAGCCUUUACCUCACCUACUAGCUAAUCCCACCUGGGCUUAUCCAUCAGCGCAAGGCCCGAAGGUCCCCUGCUUUCCCCCGUAGGGCGUAUGCGGUAUUAGCAGUCGUUUCCAACUGUUAUCCCCCACAAAUGGGCAAAUUCCCAGGCAUUACUCACCCGUCCGCCGCUCGUCAUCUUCAAAAGCAAGCUUUUGAAAUGUUACCGCUCGACUUGCAUGUGUUAGGCCUGCCGCCACGCGUCAUCUGAGCCACGAAUACAACUACUGA